GCGUAAGCGAGCGCAGGCGGUUUCUUAAGUCUGAUGUGAAAGCCCCCGGCUCAACCGGGGAGGGUCAUUGGAAACUGGGAGACUUGAGUGCAGAAGAGGAGAGUGGAAUUCCAUGUGUAGCGGUGAAAUGCGUAGAUAUAUGGAGGAACACCAGUGGCGAAGGCGGCUCUCUGGUCUGUAACUGACGCUGAGGCUCGAAAGCGUGGGGAGCAAACAGGAUUAGAUACCCCAG
rnacentral:rRNA from 1 species